CCUACGGGGUGCAGCAGUGAGGAAUAUUGGUCAAUGGACGAGAGUCUGAACCAGCCAAGUAGCGUGAAGGAUGACUGCCCUAUGGGUUGUAAACUUCUUUUAUAAAGGAAUAAAACGAGGCACGUGUGCCUUGUUGCAUGUACUUUAUGAAUAAGGAUCUGCUAACUCCGUGCCAGCAGCCGCGGGAAUACGGAGGAACAGAGCGUUGUCCGGAUUUAUUGGGUUUAAUGGGAGCGUAGAUGGGUUGUGAAGUCAGUUGUGAAGGUUUGCGGCUCAACUGUAAAAUUGCAAUUGAUACUGGCAGUCUUGAGUACAGUUGAGGUAGGCGGAAUUCGUGGUGUAGCGGUGAAAUGCUUAGAUAUCACGAAGAACCCCGAUUGCGAAGGCAGCUUACUAAACUGUGACUGACAUUGAGGCUCGAAAGUGUGGGUAUCAAACAGGAUUAGAUACCCGAGUAGUC
rnacentral:rRNA from 1 species